GACGAACCGUGCAAACGUUGUUCGGAUUCACUGGGCUUAAAGGGCGCGUAGGCGGGCGGUCAAGUCAGAGGUGAAAUCUUUCGGCUCAACCGGAAAAGUGCCCCUGAUACUGGCCAUCUCGAGGGAGGUAGGGGCAUGUGGAACUUCCGGUGGAGCGGUGAAAUGCGUAGAUAUCGGAAGGAACGCCGGUGGCGAAAGCGACGUGCUGGACCUCUUCUGACGCUGAGGCGCGAAAGCUAGGGGAGCAAACGGG
rnacentral:rRNA from 1 species